CAAUAGCGUGUAUUAAAGUUGUUGCGGUUAAAAAGCUCGUAGUUGGAUUUCUGCUGAGAACGACCGGUCCGCCCUCUGGGUGUGUAUCUGGCUCUUUCUUGGCAUCUUCUUGGUGAACGUUGCUGCACUUGACUGUGUGGAGCGCUACCCAGGACUUUUACUUUGAGGAAAUUAGAGUGUUUCAAGCAGGCAUACGCCUUGAAUACAUUAGCAUGGAAUAAUAAGAUAGGACCUCGGUUCUAUUUUGUUGGUUUCUAGAGCUGAGGUAAUGAUUAAUAGGGAUAGUUGGGGGCAUUCGUAUUUAACUGUCAGAGGUGAAAUUCUUGGAUUUGUUAAAGACGGACAACUGCGAANGNGUUUGCNCAGGAUGUUUNCAUUG
rnacentral:rRNA from 1 species